AGUGAACGCUGGCGGUAGGCCUAACACAUGCAAGUCGAACGGCAGCACAGUAAGAGCUUGCUCUUACGGGUGGCGAGUGGCGGACGGGUGAGGCAUACAUCGGAAUCUACUUUUUCGUGGGUGAUAACGUAGGGAAACUUACGCUAAUACCGCAUACGACCUACGGGUGAAAGCAGUGGAUCUUCGGACCUUGCGCGAUUGAAUGAGCCGAUGUCGGAUUAGCUAGUUGGCGGGGUAAAGGCCCACCAAGGCGACGAUCCGUAGCUGGUCUGAGAGGAUGAUCGGCCACACUGGAACUGAGACACGGUCCAGACUCCUACGGGAGGCAGCAGUGGGGAAUAUUGGACAAUGGGCGCAAGCCUGAUCCAGCCAUACCGCGUGGGUGAAGAAGGCCUUCGGGUUGUAAAGCCCUUUUGUUGGGAAAGAAAAGCAGCAGGUUAAUACCCCGCUGUUCUGACGGUACCUAAAGAAUAAGCACCGGCUAACUUCGUG
rnacentral:rRNA from 1 species